rnacentral:ncRNA from 1 species
CUCCUUAAAAGGAGAAUGACCGUAUAAUUUAUACGCUCCCCCUGCAUAUUAUGCGGGAGGAGCGUUUUU